rnacentral:lncRNA from 1 species
AUGAAGUUCGCUCUAGAGACCCGAACUGUUGGAAGCUUGGGAAACCCUUCACUUUCCCUGCCUGACCUCGCUUCUCCGUUCUCCUCAGUCCAAGCAGGAAAUGCAGUUCACCCAGGCCCAAACCUUCCUUCAGAUAUAAACUGCCAUGUGCAAGAAGAUAUAAAUAAGGUGGCUUAUUUCAAUGACAGGCGUUCCAAACCCUUGCCAUGUUCUCCACGGCCUCUGUCACAUUCCCCAUCAUCUCCUUUGCACAGACUACCUUGUUUCCGCUCCACAAAGAAAACUGGCAUGAACUCCCCAGGGCUUUCCUCUUUUCUACCUCCAAACUUCUCCAUGUUUCAGGCAGAUUCACAUUGUUCUUUCUGCCUCAAAGGAAGACAGAGCUUUCCAUUUUCCUUCUAGGCUCUUGAGACCAUGUUACCCUCUGUACCUUGUUUUAUCAGUGAUGUCCUCCUUCAUAUAUUACAAAUUUCUGCCUAACCUCUAACUUCUCCUCAAUGAAACAUAUUAAAAUAUUUGCAAUAUAGAAUGUUGAGCAUCUUUCCUUCCCUCUAUAUAUCCCUACAUCCUAUUUUCCCCUUAACCUCCCAAAUUCUUGCAAAACUACCCCAUAGUGUCUGAUGUGUGUUUACCUAUAGUUCAUAGCUCAGCUGAUUUGAAUUUGAUUAAUGUGCCUCUAAUCUACUGAAACAUUUCUUCCUAAAUGUUUCUGGUAGGCUGCAAAUAAUAGAGCACCUAACUGUCAGUGGUCUAUAUUUUUAAAAGAGCUCUUGAGAAAAGAAACCAGGGCAGGAGUGGAAGCAGGAAGACCAGCUGAAGACCACUAAAGUUAUCCAUUUGAGAGAUGAAGGUGGUGGCAGUAGAGGAGACCAGAAGGGCCAGAUUCUGGCUGUAUUUGGAAAAUACAGCUAACAGGAGUUCCUGAUGGAAAAGCUGUGGGGUAUAAAUUAAAGAAAGGAAUCAAAAUAACUCCUCAGUUUGGGGCCUGAGCAAUCAGAGUCACGGGAACACCGUUCACCUAAGAUGGGAAGGACUUUGAAUUAAGGAAAUAAUUAAUAGUUCAACUUUACUUAUUUUUAUUGAUGUAUAGUUAAUUUACAAUGCCAUGUUAGUUUCAAGUACACAGCAAAGUGAUUCAGUCAUACAUAUAUAUGUAUUCUUUUUUGGAUUAUUUUCUAAUAUAGGUUAUUAUAAGAUACUGAGUAUAGUUCCCUAUGUUAUACUCAGGAGUUCAAUUUUAAUAUGUUAACUUUGAGAUUCCUGUUAGAUCUUCCAAGUGCAGAUGAGGAAUGGAUAGUCAGGUGUGACAUUCAAGACAGAGGUCUGGGCUGAAAAUAAAACUUGGGAGUUGGAACUUCCUUGGUGGUCCAGUGGCUAAGACUCUGCCAGUGCCACAGUGUGUGUUUGAUCCCUGGUCAGGGAACUAUGAUCCCACAUGCUAAGGCAACCAAAAUAUUUUUUAAAAAGAUCCUGCAGGUCGCAGUGAAGACCAAAGAUCCCAUGUGCCACACUAAGACCAGGUGAAGCCAAAUCAAUAAAUAUGUAUUUAAAAAAUAAAGUUUGGGGGAAAAGAAAAGACAGAAGGGAGUACCACAUAUUUUUGUCCUGAAGUGAAUUAUUUAGGAGAGAAGGACAAUUGAUUAGCAGGAGAUGAAAUAAUUACAGGAACAAUCAUUAAAUAGUCAACAGGGGAGGAGACCAUGGUGCCAAGGUCUUGCUUUAGAUAAGACCAGAGACACUACAUACGUGAGACAGGAGGGAAGGCAGAGUCCAGGCAGAGAGGCAGGUAGGACGGAAGACAUGGUGGGCAGAAGAUGAGGAGUUCUUGCAAAAUUGCUUUUAUUUUUCUCAGUGAAAUGAGAAGUAAAGCUUUCAGCUCAGAGUGAGGAGGGGGAGAGGUGUUGGAUAUUUGGGAAAGGAGGUGCAAUGUAGCAAUUUCAGAGUGUGGGAAAGUAACCAACUAGGGAAAUGCAGAGGGCAGUGCUGAGAGCCCACUGGAGAUUCAUGACCAUAAACCGAGUGACAACAGCUGGCACCGUUAUUUUUGUCUAGUGUGUCAAGCUGGACAGAACCAGGGUUUUUCCAGGCAGGUGGUACCAGGUACAAGGAAGUGAGGAGUAUAUACAAAGAGGUGAUAUAGUGGUAGACUAUAAAAUCUAAUAUGUAGGUAGGAAAGAUGUGAGAGUAUAAGGGCUGUGAUGAACAGUGGGAACAUAGAUUGGAGGUAAGAGUAGGGGCAAAGAAAUGUUCAGAUGGGGUUAUUAGGGUUAUUAUUAAAGAAGCUGGAAGGGAAAGAGGUGUUGAUCAGGGAACAGCAUGGUUGAAAUGAAAAGUUCAGAGUGCUGCUGUUAUUUGGUGAUGCAAAGGUCCAUGGCACCCAAAUGACAGUAGGGUGGAGAGGGAUGCGGUUGGAGGGUUUCAACAAGGAUAUGGAAUUCACUGAAAAUGUUGGCAGGAAUGCAGUGGGGGUAGAGGACUGUGUGUCAGGUGCUAGAAUCUCCAGGGAAUGGGGGGUGGAAUGGCUAAGACAAGAGAGAAGUGGCAGAACACAGUAACAAGCAAGCUGUGGUAUAGUCUGAUGGCAGGUACUUCAGAGCAGCUGGGGGUCAGAUGGGAGAAAGUCUUACUUGGGUAGUAAUUCUCCAGGUGUUGGGAGACUUGCUGUGUUAUGAAGUCUACUCUCUAGGGCCUUAAACUCCCUUCUCUCCUUCGCCUCUGAGAGGCCAUCCAUGGUGGGAUUUAUUCAGGGUGAUGGAGUCAGAAGGAAACCAGGGAACUGUUGGGAUUAAUACCAAGACAGCAUCUGUGCAACAUGUGUGCUGCUGAAGGACAGGAAGCUGAUAACAGUGGCCGGCCCAGGGGUAGUGAAGAGAUGGUUUUUAAAUGGGGUGAACUUCGGGCAGGUGGCACCCAGAGCUCAACUCUCAUGGCCUCCUCAGAACUCUGUUCAUUCAGCUUCCUUAGGGGGAGAGGCAGGAGAAGGCAAUGGCACCCCACUCCAGUACUCUUGCCUGGCAAAUCCCAUGGACAGAGGAGCCUGGUGGGCUGCAGUUCAUGGGGUUGCUAAGAGUUGGACAUGACUGAGAGACUUCACUUUCACUUUUCACUUUCAUGCACUGGAGAAGGAAAUGGCAACCAACUCCCGUGCUCUUGCCUGGAGAAUCUCAGGGGAGCCUGGUGGGCUGCUGUCUAUGGGGUCGCACAGUCUGACACGACUGAAGUGGCUUAGCAGCAGCAGCAGGGAGAGAGGUUGAAUUUUUCCUCUGCUGGGAAGCUGGCUUGGAAAGGGAAAGUUUUGCCAGAUUCCCUAUGGAGAGGGUGUGUCCCUGCGAAAACAGGAAUCUGCCUGAAAACCUCUGUCAGCAGGGAACUUUGGGCACCCUGUCCAGAAAGGGACAGCCUGUGAUCGCAAAUAAGCCAGCUCUGCGGCAUCCUGGAUGCUGAAUUCUUACACACUGUCAGUGCUCUCACUACCUGUCCCUGGACAGGUGGCCACUCAUGGGGGUGGCCCAGAGCCCUGGCCAAAAAGGCAG